GAUUGGCCUCAGUAACGGCGAGUGAGCGGCAUCAGCCCAAUUUUGAAAGCCUCCGGGCGUUGUAGUGGCGGCAAAGACACACCGGCAAGUCCCUUGGAACAGGGCGCCUCAGAGGGUGACAGCCCCGUACGGUACCGUCUGCUAAUUGCCGCCGGGCGAGUCGAGUUGUUUGGGAAUGCAGCUCAAACGGGUGGUAAACUCCAUCCAAGGCUAAAUACCGGCGAGAGACCGAUAGCGAACAAGUACAGUGAUGGAAAGAUGAAAAGCACUUUGAAAAGAGAGUGAAAAAGUACGUGAAAUUGGUGUGAGGGAAGGGGGCGGGGGGAAG
rnacentral:rRNA from 2 species